rnacentral:rRNA from 1 species
ACCCGCUGAACUUAAGCAUAUCAGUAAGCGGAGGAAAAGAAACUAACUAGGAUUCCCCGAGUAGCGGCGAGCGAAAGGGGAGAAGCCCAGCGCCGAAGCGCGCGGCCCCUGGCCGUAGCGCAAUGUGGCGUUUCGGCGGCGAUGAGUGGCGGCCGUCCUGGCACGCGUACCUCUGAAUGGGUCUGCCCGCAGCGGGUGUCAGGCCUCUAGGUGCCGAGCGGACGGUCGCGGCAAGUCGUCGUCGCGGAGUCGGGUUGCUUGAGAGUGCAGCCCAAAGUGGGUGGUAAGCUCCAUCUAAGGCUAAAUACCUAGUGCGAGACCGAUAGCAAACAAGUACCGUGAGGGAAAGUUGCAAAGAACUUUGAAAAGAGAGUUCAAGAGUACGUGAAACCGUUCAGAGGCAAACGGACGGAACUGGGCGAGUUCGCCGUCGUCAUUCAGCCGGCGCGUCUUCGGGCGCGACGGUGCACUUGGCGGCGGCGGAGCACGACGACCGCCUGUCGAGUCGUCAGAAGCUCGGCGGCAAGGUGGCGACGCGCUCGCGCGUCGUGUUACAGGCCGCCGCGGCGUUGGCAGACUUGGCGGGCGAGGAGCGCCUGCGGUGCCCUCCCUCUGCUUGGGAGCGGCCCGCGCGUGCUGGCUGCGGGGCCGCCGGCGGCGAACUGCUCGCAGUUUGUCGUUUGAGCGCGCCUCUUGUCUGGCCGCGCGGUGCCGCGGGCACCCGGGGUCCGGGUCGUGUGGUUCCUGGCACUCCGUCCGACCCGUCUUGAAACACGGACCAAGGAGUUGAGCACGUGCGCAAGUCGAUGGGCAUCAAGAACCCCAGUGGCGCAGCUAAGGCAAAACGGGCGUGAUCCGGCACUGGCGUGCCGGCGCAACGCCGGCCCUCGGCCGACUCGCUGCGAGUGGCCGAGGCGCAAGAGCGUGCGUGCUCAGACCCGAAAGGUGGUGAACUAUGCUUGAGCAGGGCGAAGCCAGAGGAAACUCUGGUGGAGGCUCGCAGCGAUCCUGACGUGCAAAUCGGUCGUCAAACUUGAGCAUAGGGGCGAAAGACUAAUCGAACCACCUAGUAGCUGGUUCCCUCCGAAGUUUCCCUCAGGAUAGCUGGCACUCGGGAUAAAUGGUUUUAUCCGGUAAAGCGAAUGAUUAGAGGCAUUGGGGACGAAACGUCCUCAACCUAUUCUCAAACUUUAAAUGGGUAAGAGGCGCGACCCUUCCUGAUCGGGGUCGCGUGCUUGAACAGAGAGUGCCCAGUGGGCCGUUUUUGGUAAGCAGAACUGGCGCUGUGGGAUGAACCAAACGUGCGGUUAGGGUGCCUAACGCACGCUCAUGAGAUACCACAAAAGGUGUUGGUUGAUAUAGACAGCAGGACGGUGGCCAUGGAAGUCGGAAUCCGCUAAGGAGUGUGUAACAACUCACCUGCCGAAUCAACUAGCCCUGAAAAUGGAUGGCGCUGGAGCGUGCGACCCAUACCGCACCGUCGGGGCAAUGCGUGCGAAAUGCCAGGCCCCGAUGAGUAGGAGGGCGCGUUGGUGGCGUUGAAGCGUAGUGCGUGGGCACGCGUGGAGCCGCUUUCGGUGCAGAUCUUGGUGGUAGUAGCAAGUAUACAAAUGAGAACUUUGUAGACCGAAGUGGAGAAGGGUUCCAUGUGAACAGCAGUUGGACAUGGGUCAGUCGGCCCUAAGAGAUCGGAGAAUUCCGUUCUGAACGGGGAGACAGUCAGUGCUGCGAUUGUGCGGGAUGAGGUGGGGGCGAGAGAGAGAGAGAGAGGGAGCUGCGCUGAGCAAACACACGCAGAGCGGGGUCGCGCCGUGCCGGCGACCGGACUGUGGGCGCGCGCGCGCCGUCAAAAAUGGGUGCUUAGGCUCAUAGGAAUUGACGGAAAGCGCGGCGUGUCGCGUGUCCGGCCGGCCGCCGGCUGCCACGGCAACGCAUUUGAUCUCGUUGUCGUAGGCGGCGGCGCGACCGUUUGGCCGCCAACCAACAAACAAUUAUACAUGUCUAGCUCAGCUCAGCGGCGGCUCUCUUCAACUCUUUCUUUAGCUCUCUAUUGAACGCGCCUCCCCGCGCGCGCACGCACUGGGUGAGCAUGCACACCCCGAUGUGAUCGAAAGGGAAUCGGGUUAAUAUUCCCGAACCUGGCAGUGGAGAUUGGGCCUUCGGGCCCCAGUGCGGUAACGCAACCGAACUCGGAGACGCCAGCGUCGAUCCCGGGAAGAGUUCUCUUUUCUUUGUUAGGAGCGGACUCCCUGGAAUUGGCUUGUCCAGAGAUAGGGACGUUGCAUCCGUAAAGCGUCGCGCCUCACGCGGCGUCCGGUGCAUCGGCGCUGGCCCUUGAAAAUCCGAGGAAGGCAGUGUAAUUUUCACUCCAGGCCGUACCCGAAUCCGCAGCAGGUCUCCAAGGUGAACAGCCUCUGGUCGAUAGAACAAUGUAGGUAAGGGAAGUCGGCAAAUCCGAUCCGUAACUUCGGGAUAAGGAUUGGCUCUGAGGUGCGGGCUG